rnacentral:rRNA from 1 species
GCAGAACGCGAAGAACCUUACCAGGACUUGACAUGGAGGGGACCGGACGAGAGAUCGUUCUUCUUCCGCAAGGAAGCCCCUCACACAGGUGCUGCAUGGCUGUCGUCAGCUCGUGUCGUGAGAUGUUGGGUUAAGUCCCGCAACGAGCGCAACCCUCGUUUUAGUUGCCAUCAUUCAGUUGGGCACUCUAAAGAGACUGCCGCGAAUAACGCGGAGGAAGGUGGGGACGACGUCAAGUCAUCAUGGCCCUUACGUCCUGGGCUACACACGUGCUACAAUGGGCGUCACAGAGGGUCGCAAGAGCGCAAGCUGGAGCCAAUCCCCAAAAACGUCCUCAGUUCAGAUCGAGGUCUGCAACCCGACUCGUGAAGGUGGAAUCGCUAGUAAUCGCGGAUCAGAACGCCGCGGUGAAUACGUUCCCGGGUCUUGUACACACCG